rnacentral:rRNA from 1 species
ACAGCAGCAGCCACGGUAAUACGUAGGGUGCAAGCGUUAAUCGGAAUUACUGGGCGUAAAGCGUGCGCAGGCGGUUAUAUAAGACAGAUGUGAAAUCCCCGGGCUCAACCUGGGAACUGCAUUUGUGACUGUAUAGCUAGAGUACGGCAGAGGGGGAUGGAAUUCCGCGUGUAGCAGUGAAAUGCGUAGAUAUGCGGAGGAACACCGAUGGCGAAGGCAAUCCCCUGGGCCUGUACUGACGCUCAUGCACGAAAGCGUGGGGAGCAAACAGGAUUAGAUACCCCUGUAGUCCCUGUCUCUUAUAU